CUUAACUUGUGGUUGAUAAUUUCCGGUUGAGUUAGUUUUUUUUUUCAAGUGCAAAAUCAAGACCGAAUAAGUACCAGGACAUGGAUUUUUUUUUGCCAGGUUAUGACGGAGGCUGAUUUAGGCCUUGCAGAAGCAUUUAUUAAUGGAGAUUUUCUUUUGUUGAUAUACUUAUUGCCAAUAGGGAUUUAAAUUCUUCAGUCUCUAGACUGAACAAGAGAAGGUUUCGUAUAACUUCCAAAGAAUGUAGACUGUGAUACAUACUAGCAUAAUACUUUCUUCUUUCGGUACAAUUGUUCAUAUCCAUACCAGAAGAAGGCUACGAUGAGUACAGGCCAAGUUCAGAUUCUAUCAAGGAAUACAUAUUUCCCUGGUGGAUGCGUGCCUUCCCUGAAUAGGAUAAUCUCAGCCAUGGCUGCUGCGUCCAGACUCUGGAUACAUUCAACGAAGGAUGAGACGUUAUCUUGGAUUUUCACGCCUUGGAAAUGUCACUGUCCUUGGCGCUCCAUGCCAAGGUUUUUCUUCAUCAUACAUUAAGGAGAUUAAUUCCUAAAGAUUACUAUUUUUGUAAUGAAAUUGCCAUGUCAAACAUGUGGGGAAGUCAUUUAUUUCUUUGUAAUCUUUUUUGUUUUCUCCACCUAACAAAUCAAGUCCAGUUGAACUAUUGGAAUUUGAACAUAUUAAUAUAUUUGAUUUAAAUG
rnacentral:sRNA from 1 species